rnacentral:rRNA from 1 species
CCUACGGGAGGCAGCAGUAGGGAAUCUUUCACAAUGGGCGAAAGCCUGAUGGAGCAACGCCGCGUGCAGGAUGAAGGCCUUCGGGUUGUAAACUUCUUUUAUAAGCGAGAAAUAUGAUGGUAACUUAUGAAUAAGGAUCGGCUAACUACGUGCCAGCAGCCGCGGUCAUACGUAGGAUCCGAGCAUUAUCCGGAGUGACUGGGUGUAAAGAGUUGCGUAUGUGGCAUAAUAAGUAGCUAGUGAAAUCUGGUGGCUCAACCAUUCAGACUAUUAGCUAAACUGUUAAGCUCGAGAACGUUAGAGGUAAGUGGAAUUUCUAGUGUAGGAGUGAAAUGCGUAGAUAUUAGAAAGAACACCGAUAGCGUAGGCAGGUUGCUGGGACGGUUCUGACACUAAGGCACGAAAGCGUAGGGAGCAAACGGGAUUAGAUACCCGAGUAGUC